rnacentral:rRNA from 1 species
GCAAGUCGAACGAUGAUCCGGAGCUUGCUCCGGGGAUUAGUGGCGAACGGGUGAGUAACACGUGAGUAACCUGCCCUUGACUCUGGGAUAAGCGUUGGAAACGACGUCUAAUACCGGAUAUGACCUUUGCCGGCAUCGGCUGGAGGUGGAAAGAUUUUUUGGUCAAGGAUGGACUCGCGGCCUAUCAGGUAGUUGGUGAGGUAAUGGCUCACCAAGCCGACGACGGGUAGCCGGCCUGAGAGGGUGACCGGCCACACUGGGACUGAGACACGGCCCAGACUCCUACGGGAGGCAGCAGUGGGGAAUAUUGCACAAUGGGCGAAAGCCUGAUGCAGCAACGCCGCGUGAGGGAUGACGGCCUUCGGGUUGUAAACCUCUUUUAGUAGGGAAGAAGGGAGCUUGCUCUUGACGGUACCUGCAGAAAAAGCACCGGCUAACUACGUGCCAGCAGCCGCGGUAAUACGUAGGGUGCAAGCGUUGUCCGGAAUUAUUGGGCGUAAAGAGCUCGUAGGCGGUUUGUCGCGUCUGCUGUGAAAUCUGGGGGCUCAACCCCCAGCCUGCAGUGGGUACGGGCAGACUAGAGUGCGGUAGGGGAGAUUGGAAUUCCUGGUGUAGCGGUGGAAUGCGCAGAUAUCAGGAGGAACACCGAUGGCGAAGGCAGAUCUCUGGGCCGUAACUGACGCUGAGGAGCGAAAGCAUGGGGAGCGAACAGGAUUAGAUACCCUGGUAGUCCAUGCCGUAAACGUUGGGAACUAGAUGUAGGGGCCAUUCCACGGUUUCUGUGUCGCAGCUAACGCAUUA